CAGAAUUCGGCCCGAGUGUUCCAACCUCUGUUGCCCCAUGCAGAUUCUAGAACUGCAGUAGCACAGCAAAGGUGGCUGUUUCCCUGUGGCGCAAGUCGCAUUUCAGGGAAGAGCCACUUGUCAAUGGGGUAAUGGAACUAUAGAACAUUUCCAUCCUUGCGGAAAGUUCUGUUGGAACAGAGCUGACCUCGAGACAGCAAACAGCUCUAUUGCUAAACUGAGUGGAAGCUUUGUGCAGCUCUUUCCCACCAGCAAAAUGUUUGGGGCAGAUAGACUAGACACGUGUUAAGCUUACUGAAAAACCAGAUACCUGUAUUACUCUCAGUUCCUGAUUCAAGUUCCCUUCACCUUUAGUGUGGGGUUGAGUCAUUAAUAGCAGAUGGGUGGAAAUGUUUUUGACCUAAGCAGACCUGGGUUUUCCCCUCCCAUGUGCUUUACACAGUUUAUAAUGGGGAGUAGAUGAAAUAAAUGUUAGCUCUGCCCUCUUCUUACUGCUUGUGCUGGGAUUAGUAAUUUUGGUCUGUGGUUUCUCUACAGGAAUCUGUUGAAGUCCCUUGUUCUUUUUGUGAGAGUAUAUUUUAAAAAUUUUUUGAAGUUGGCCCUACCCCUAAUGUGCGGCUCGAACUCACAGGACCAAGAGGCGCACUCUACCGAUAACCGCCAGCCAGGGGCCCCUGUGAGGGUUUAGUUUAAACUGAAUGGGGGAACCUGUGAAUCCACUUUAGUGCACGUGGCCUAACUGCAUGCUGAUUGGCAGCAUGCUAGAGCGCGUACUGCUGUUAAUUUGCAUAUUAAGUAUUAGUAAAUGUUGGUUUCUUUUUUCUCAAUAAGCCUCAGUAGCAGUUCUAACAUUUUUUCUCUCCUGCGGGUCAUCCGCAUGCCCUCCUCCCCCGCCUCGUGCACGCGCACACACCGUUGGGACACUGGUGAGAGGCUGGCUGGUCAGGUUACUGGAGGGGCCAGUAGGCUCUAAGCCCAAUGUGGGGCUUGAACUCACGACCCUGAGCUCAAGAUUCUCUCAUAUUCUACCAACUGAGCCACCCAGGAGCCUCGAUAAAUUUUAAAAAGUAACGAAGAAAUUUGUGUUUAUCACCUAGGAAGCAGGAAAUGGAGUUAUGACUGCCCUUGGCGGAGGUGAUCUGGGAAGGCUUCAAAGAGGAAGCACCAUUUCAAUUGGCUCUGAAGAAUGAGACUCGGUUUGUUCAUCUGUAAAGUGAGCACUGAGCAUGCAGACUGAGUUAAGAAAUCCAGAGAGGCCAAGUUUUCUCCCUAUGAAAGCAAGGAUCAGCAAACUCUGGCCUACUGACGGAGCCUGGCACAGCACCUGAGACUGUACAGCCCACAAGCUAAGACUGGGUUUUAUAUCUUUAAAUGGUUGAAAAGCGAUUGAAUGAAGAGUAAUGUUUUGUCACGUGGAAGGAUGACAUGAAAUGUAAUUGUCAGCAUUCGUAAAUAAAGCUUACCCAUUUA